CAGCAGCCUCGGUAAUACGUAGGUCCCGAGCGUUGUCCGGAUUUAUUGGGCGUAAAGCGAGCGCAGGCGGUUAGAUAAGUCUGAAGUUAAAGGCUGUGGCUUAACCAUAGUACGCUUUGGAAACUGUUUAACUUGAGUGCAAGAGGGGAGAGUGGAAUUCCAUGUGUAGCGGUGAAAUGCGUAGGUAUAUGGAGGAACACCGGUGGCGAAAGCGGCUCUCUGGCUUGUAACUGACGCUGAGGCUCGAAAGCGUGGGGAGCAAACAGGAUUAGAUACCCCCGUAGUCCCUGUCUCUUUACAC
rnacentral:rRNA from 1 species